CACGUAGGGGGCAAGCGUUGUCCGGAUUUAUUGGGCGUAAAGAGCUCGUAGGCGGUUCGGUAAGUUGGGUGUGAAACCUCCAGGCUCAACCUGGAGACGCCACCCGAUACUGCUGUGACUAGAGUCCGGUAGGGGAGCGUGGAAUUCCGGUGUAGCGGUGAAAUGCGCAGAUAUCAGGAGGAACACCAGCGGCGAAGGCGGCGCUCUGGGCCGGAACUGACGCUGAGGAGCGAAAGCGUGGGUAGCAAACAGG
rnacentral:rRNA from 1 species